GAUGAACGCUGGCGGCGUGCUUAACACAUGCAAGUCGAACGGGAAACCUUUUAUUGAAGCUUCGGCAGAUUUAGCUGGUUUCUAGUGGCGGACGGGUGAGUAACGCGUGGGUAACCUGCCUUAUACAGGGGGAUAACAGUCAGAAAUGGCUGCUAAUACCGCAUAAGCGCACAGAGCUGCAUGGCCCAGUGUGAAAAACUCCGGUGGGAUAAGAUGGACCCGCGUUGGAUUAGCUGGUUGGUGGGGUAACGGCCCACCAAGGCGACGAUCCAUAGCCGGCCUGAGAGAGUGAGCGGCCACAUUGAGACUGAGACACGGCCGAGACUCCUACGGGAGGCAGCAGUGGGGAAUAUUGCACAAUGGGGGGAGCCCUGAUGCAGCGACGCCGCGUGAAGGAAGAAGUAUCUCGGUAUGUAAACUUCUAUCAGCAGGGAAGAUAAUGACGGUACCUGACGAAGAAGCCCCGGCUAACUACGUG
rnacentral:rRNA from 1 species